UACAGACGGUCCAAACGUUAUUCGGAAUCACUGGGCUUAAAGCGCGUGUAGGCGGUUAGGCAAGUCGGAUGUGAAAUCCCGUGGCUCAACUACGGAAGUGCACCCGAAACUGCUUAACUUGAGUCCCGGAGAGGAAGGCGGAAUGCUUGGUGUAGAGGUGAAAUUCGUAGAUAUCAAGCGGAACACCGGUGGCGAAGGCGGCCUUCUGGACGAGGACUGACGCUGAGACGCGAAAGCGUGGGGAGCAAACAGG
rnacentral:rRNA from 1 species